rnacentral:pre_miRNA from 1 species
CAUGCACCAGUGGCAGUUGAAGCUGCCAGCAUGAUCUGGAUUUUCCCUUGAAUAUUUUAGCACCAUUCAUUCAUGUAUGGGAGAGACUAGAUCAUAUGGCAGCUUCACCUGUUCAUGGUGGGCAUG